UUCAUAUUUCAUUAAUUGUUAAAGGUCAUUACAUUGAUACAAUUACUGACUAUUACAUCACAUACUACUUCAAAGCAAAAAAAUAAUCAAUUACAAAAAUAAUUGAGCAUAAGCUCUUUCUUCAUGCCUAAACCCCUCCACCACUACCUUGUGAACAAACUACUGCAUGUACAAACAUAAUAAGCAGGAAUAUAACCAUUUCAGAAGCAAAUGCUUUCAAAAUUCUUAAUUUUUCCUUAAGAAUUCUCUUAUCCUCCUUAGGUUACCUUCUUUUGCCAUCAAGUUGUUCAACUUUUCUGUCCAAAUCAAUAUUUCUCUUUCUUACCCUAUUCAACAAUUGCUCAUAGUUUUCCUUCUCUCUAGCUAGUUGAACAUCUUUCAUAUUCAAUUUUCAGCUAGAAUCUUCUCCAUUUCAAACUUGCACCUUACUUGAUCUUGCAAGCUAUGUCUUUCUGCUUUCAAUCGAAUAAAGCAUCCCUUCUAGAAAGAUAAGAGCUUAGGAUUUACCCAUUUGAAGAACCUACAAUCACCUUUCUAAUGCACACAUAUAAGAGAAAGUUAGUUUCGUUAUAAAUAAAAAAUGUUAAUAGUUAAUAGAAAAUGAACUAACAUCUAAAUGUAAUAACAACCUUCCUAACUGCACAACAAUAAAAACUCCUAACCUCGUUAUUAUUUGUCAUAGAUGUCAACAAAUCAGCAUGCAUAUCAUGACCAGGGCAAUAUAUUACAGGAAUCUCUGAAUAGUUGUUGUAAGAAGCGCUCGAGCCUGAUUGAAGUGAUUUUAUGGUUCUGGUAGAUAAAAAAAAUAUUUGUAAGACCUAAAGAUUAAGAAC
rnacentral:lncRNA from 1 species